GAGUUUGCGUAGAAGACAACAAAGAGAGAAUCACUUCCUGCUUAUUCUGCUUAUUCUGCAUGAGUCUGUAGCUCGAUCAAACUGUGUAAAACCUCUAAACCAACCUCUGUUUCAUUUCUCUUUAGUUCUGAUCUCACUGCUGAGCUACACCACAAACCAAGCUCUUCUGACUGUGAGUCCCAGCAGCUCUCAGAUGUUUGACGGAGACUAUGUGUCUCUGAGCUGUGAGGAGGACGACAGCUCUGCUGGAUGGACUCUGAGGAGAAACACAAGCAGAGAAAUCAGAGCUGAGUGUGAGGAGUGGGGAGCAGCAGCUGAUUCUUCCUGUAACAUUAGCAGUGUCCUCCCGUGGGACAGUGGAGUUUACUGGUGUGAGUCCAGAGAGGGUCCCAUCAGUAACAUGGUUAACCUGACAGUCACUGGUGGAUCAGUGAUCCUGCAGAGUCCUGUCCUCCCUGUGAUGGAGGGAGAUGACGUCACUCUGCUCUGCGAAGAAAAGAAUUCCUUCAGCCUCCCGGCUGCUUUCUAUAAAGAUGGCUCCCUUAUCGGCAACGAGGUCACAGGUCACAUGACCAUCCAGCAUGUUUCCAGGUCUGAUGAAGGCCUCUACAAGUGUGACAUCAGCGGUCAUGGAGAGUCUCCAUCCAGCUGGAUCACUGUCACAGAUAGGCCUGCAAACACAAUCCUACACCCAUCCUCAGCACCACCUCCUGACCCCACCUCCCUCAACCUUGUGUUCAGCGUUGUCUCUCACCUGGUGGUAAUUUGUCCAUACUUCAUCUCCACUCUGCUCAUGGUGUCUUUAUAUCGACACAGAGCCAAAGCAUCCCUGCCGACCCAAGCUGAGCAGAGACAGACUGAGGACUUUGAUAACAUUGUGGAGGUGACCACUGAGCAUCACUUCUGAGUUGCACAAAUUAUGGGCCAAUUGUCAAAGGAGCUUGGAAAGAAAAACGUCUGGACUUCUUCUACGAUGACCUGGAUGACUGAGAACCUUCACAGACCCCCACCCCCCCCACCCCCCUGACACUUACUAAUUCUCAUCCUCCCUCUUGAUCAUAGAGGCUCAGGGUGUUGGAAAUUAUGCCAUGGUCAGGGUCGGAAUCCUCAUCAACGCGUCCAGUAAGAGUCCCAGACUAGACCCUCCUUUCCCACAUUUACCUAAGACUGAUAUACAAAACACAAUAUACAAACUAACUGAGAAAAGACAAUCAUGUACAGGGUUGUUUGUACACAUGAUAUUAAUCAACAAUGUAUUUCAUUCUAACUGUUUUUUUAUUUCUAAUUGUGGUUGCUUUACUGUACAGAUUUCCCUUAAAAAUGUUCAACAUUAAAGACUUUAUAAAUCUUGUUUAAUAAAUGUGAUAUUUUUCCACAUUGGUCGAUGUCCUUAUUCUAAAAACUUAUUACAAUAUUUCAAUAAGAUUUGUUAAAGUUGCCUUUUGGUUUAUAGUUAAAGGCAAUAGCCAAAACACAUCAAGGGUAAAAUUCAAACAGUUCCACUUAGAAGAAAUUUCUUGAAGCACAAGUCAAGAAAAAAAAUAAAAUGAGGAGAAGCUCCCAUUUCCCCCUUUUCUGUUUCACAUCUUGACUGAACAAUUUUACAGAUAAUACAUCUCAACACAUCUUGAUAAUUUGUUUUAGAGUUUUACAGGCUCACUUUCUUCCCCUCUUU